GACGAACGCUGGCGGCGUGCUUAACACAUGCAAGUCGAACGGAAAGGCCCUGCUUUUGUGGGGUGCUCGAGUGGCGAACGGGUGAGUAACACGUGAGUAACCUGCCCUUGACUUUGGGAUAACUUCAGGAAACUGGGGCUAAUACCGGAUAGGAGCUCCUGCUGCAUGGUGGGGGUUGGAAAUUUUCGGCGGUUGGGGAUGUACUCGCGGCUUAUCAGCUUGUUGGUGUGGUAGUGGCUUACCAAGGCUUUGACGGGUAGCCGGCCUGAGAGGGUGACAGGCAACAUUGGGACUGAGAUACGGCGCAGAAUCCUACGGGAGGCAGCAGUGGGGAAUAUUGCACAAUGGGAGGAAGCCUGAUGCAGCAACGCCGCGUGCGGGAUGACGGCCUUCGGGUUGUAAACCGCUUGCGCCUGUGACGAAGCGUGAGUGACGGUAAUGGGUAAAGAAGCAACGGCUAACUACGUG
rnacentral:rRNA from 1 species